rnacentral:rRNA from 1 species
UGAAGGCCCCCCGUUUUUUGGGGGGGUUUAGGGGGGGAACCGGUGGGAAUACACCGGGGGUAAACCUGCCCUUUAACUUGGGGAUAAAGCCUGGGAAACUUGGGUUCAAAUCCCGGAUAGGGAGCGCCUUCCCCCAUGGUGGGGGUUUGGAAAAGAUUUUUCGGUUUUGGAAUGGACUCGCGGCCCUUUCCAGCUUGUUGGGGGAGGUAAUGGCUCCACCAAGGCGGACGACGGGUAACCCGCCUGGAGAGGGUGACCCGGCCACACUGGGACUGAGACCCGGCCCCAGAUUCCUACGGGAGGCAGCAGUGGGGAAUAUUGCACAAUGGGCGAAAGCCUGAUGCAGCGACGCCCGCGUGAGGGAUGACGGCCUUUCGGGUUGUAAACCUUUUUUCAGUAGGGAAGAAGCGAAAGUGACGGUACCUGCAGAAGAAGCACCGGCUAACUACGUGCCAGCAGCCGCGGUAAUACGUAGGGUGCGAGCGUUAUCCGGAAUUAUUGGGCGUAAAGAGCUCGUAGGCGGUUUGUCGCGUCUGUCGUGAAAGUCCGGGGCUUAACCCCGGAUCUGCGGUGGGUACGGGCAGACUAGAGUGCAGUAGGGGAGACUGGAAUUCCUGGUGUAGCGGUGGAAUGCGCAGAUAUCAGGAGGAACACCGAUGGCGAAGGCAGGUCUCUGGGCUGUAACUGACGCUGAGGAGCGAAAGCAUGGGGAGCGAACAGGAUUAGAUACCCUGGUAGUCCAUGCCGUAAACGUUGGGCACUAGGUGUGGGGACCAUUCCACGGUUUCCGCGCCGCAGCUAACGCAUUAAGUGCCCCGCCUGGGGAGUACGGCCGCAAGGCUAAAACUCAAAGGAAUUGACGGGGGCCCGCACAAGCGGCGGAGCAUGCGGAUUAAUUCGAUGCAACGCGAAGAACCUUACCAAGGCUUGACAUGUUCCCGAUCGCCGUAGAGAUACGGUUUCCCCUUUGGGGCGGGUUCACAGGUGGUGCAUGGUUGUCGUCAGCUCGUGUCGUGAGAUGUUGGGUUAAGUCCCGCAACGAGCGCAACCCUCGUUCCAUGUUGCCAGCACGUAAUGGUGGGGACUCAUGGGAGACUGCCGGGGUCAACUCGGAGGAAGGUGAGGACGACGUCAAAUCAUCAUGCCCCUUAUGUCUUGGGCUUCACGCAUGCUACAAUGGCCGGUACAAUGGGUUGCGAUACUGUGAGGUGGAGCUAAUCCCAAAAAGCCGGUCUCAGUUCGGAUUGGGGUCUGCAACUCGACCCCAUGAAGUCGGAGUCGCUAGUAAUCGCAGAUCAGCAACGCUGCGGUGAAUACGUUCCCGGGCCUUGUACACACCGCCCGUCAAGUCACGAAAGUUGGUAACACCCGAAGCCGGUGCCUAACCC